UGAGGAAUCUUGCGCAGUGGGGGAAACCCUGACGCAGCAACGCCGCGUGAGUGAGGAAGGUCUUCGGGUCGUAAAGCUCUGUCAGGCGGGAAGAAAUGCAUGGAGGUGAACAGCCGCCAUGCUUGACGGUACCGCCAGAGGAAGCACCGGCUAACUCCGUGCCAGCAGCCGCGGUAAUACGGGGGGUGCAAGCGUUGUUCGGAAUCAUUGGGCGUAAAGAGCGUGUAGGCGGCUUGGUAAGUCAGAUGUGAAAGCCCUGGGCUCAACUCAGGAAGUGCAUUUGAAACUGCCAGGCUCGAGUAGGGGAGAGGGAAGUGGAAUUCCUGGUGUAGAGGUGAAAUUCGUAGAUAUCAGGAGGAACACCGGUGGCGAAGGCGACUUCCUGGCCCUAUACUGACGCUGAGACGCGAGAGCGUGGGUAGCAAACAG
rnacentral:rRNA from 1 species